rnacentral:ncRNA from 2 species
UAUUCGCCAUCCUCUGUGGGUCGUUCUCUUGCCAGAACGAUAAUAGGGAACCCGGUGAAAAACCGGGGCGGACUCGCCGCUGUAACUUCCUCGCCUAUGUAAAUAAUGAAAUGGGCACAGUGAAGGUUCAAAAAACCACUGCUGAAUGCGUGCAAUGCGCAGGCUGGCGGGAAGGAUGAACCAUUUGGAAGAAGCCAGAAGACCUACCCACGAGCGUGUGUUCGC